GCCGGCGUAGCUCAGUUGGUUAGAGCGCUUGAUUGUGGAUCAAGAGGUCGCCCGUUCAAUUCGGGCCGCUGGUACCA
rnacentral:tRNA from 1 species